ACAGCAGACAAGAAGCAAAACAUAAUAAUCCUGCAAAGGAAAAUCCUCUACUGGGCCAGCACGGUAGAAUCAUUUAUAAAAGGGCCAUACCCUUGGCAUAUGGAAGGCUAGGUGUUGAAUUGGAGCUGCAGCUGCAGGCCUACACCACAGCCAAAGCAAUGAAGGAUCUGAGCCUCGUGUGUGACUUAUGCCACAGCUCACAGCAACAUUGGAUCCUCAACCCACUGAGUGAGGCCAGGACCAACCUUCAUCCUCAUGGAUACUAGUUGGGUUUUUAACCUGCUGAGCCACAAGGGGAGCUCUCUGGAAGACUUCUAUUGAGUACUUCUAUGAGUGGAUGAAGGAGAGCCCAACUCAGAGGAGCUGUCCUCCAGGAUGGAGAAUGGAGGAGCUUGAAUUCUUAGAUGCUGAUGAGAGAUGGAAGACACAGAUGAGAGAAGUGAGCCCUGAUGGAACAAGGCUGUGGAGAAGGAAGGCGUGAAGGGAUGGAAGGUGCAGGUUCAUCGAACGGGAAGAGAUGUACUAUUUCUCUGCCUCUGAUGGGAAGGAAGUGAAAUAAACAUGGAUACAGCUAGGUUUGUGGUGAUGGUGGCAGUGAUGGAGUAUUGUUUAGCUAGUAAAGGCAAAUUGCUUCCAUUUUCUUGCUGAAUGUAAAAGCAAUUCUUCGAGGGUGAGGAUGCUAGGAGGUGAAUCUUUCCCAUGUGACAUAUUAAGGUUUGGAUGGGACUACUUCCCCCACACCCAAUUAGGAAAUAAUGCUGUAUCAAGCUGAAUCCUUACUCUGAUGAUUUUAAGGUGAACAAAAUAUCAGACUUACUCUUUUACAGUUAAUUUUUGAUGCAAUUUUGCUUGUAGGAAAGAAUCCUGCUGACUUACAAUUCUUUUACUCAAACUGUUGAUGUGUAACCCUUCUCAUAGCAGUUGAGGUCUCUCCAGAUUUGGAGGACUUCACUGUUUUCACCUCCCUUUUUGGUUACAGUGAGGUAGAGAAAACCAACAAGUCUUGAGUGUCUGUGUAUAAUUCUUCAUUGUGAGUCAAUCAGCUGCCUUAUCUGGGGUGUUGCGAAUCCCAGGGGCUUUGGGGCUCUGCAUCAAUCUGUUUAAAUUUGAGAACAGGGAGGAUUUGGGGGGCUACUGAAUGGGCUCGUGUGUGGAUGUGGCACGAUGGGGCUGAAGGCUCAUAGCCUCUCCUGUGGUGUGAUCUACUGAUGUCUGUGCCCCAGACAUUCACUCCUACCUGUUAGUGUCUUAAGCAUGACCCUUGCAACUCUGCUGCCCUCAUUCUUUUCUAGUGUGACCCCUUUCUUCUGAACCACUCUCUGCCAAGGAUUCACAACAGAAUAUUAGGACUAAACAUGGAGUAGUCAACUGCAUAUUUUCCUCAUCACUCUGGGGUUCAAAAAAAAAAAAAAAAAAAAAAA
rnacentral:lncRNA from 1 species